AGAAUUUAAGCUCCAUGAGAUAGGGGUGUAGAUUUCUCUAAUUCUACUAUCGUACUUGCCAGCACAAGAUGUGAGCAUUGAGUAAAUAUUUGUAGAUGAGGCCGGGCAAGAAACCACUGUCCAGAUAAGGACAUCAUAUCUCAGGGGAACCAGCAUGAAUGGUUGAUAAUGGGGGACCAGAUGCCCCACCUCGCCUGGACACAACAUAGCACCCAGGAGAAAUAGACACAACCCCAUGGAGAGGAGAGAAGACCCUGAAUUGCCUGAAACUUAAUCACCUAAGGUCAGAAGUUCGAGACCAGCUUGGCCAACAUGCCAAAACCCCAUCUCUACUAAAAAUACAAAAAGUAGCCAGACGUGGUUGCACACACCUGUAAUCCCAGCUACGUGGAGGAUGAGGCAGGAGAAUUCCUUGAACCCGAGAGGCAGAGGAUGC
rnacentral:lncRNA from 10 species